UUUAUAUAGUUUAAGAUAAAACAUUACAUUUUCAUUGUAAAAAUAAAAUUUAAAUUUUUAUAAAUAA
rnacentral:tRNA from 1 species